rnacentral:tRNA from 1 species
UCGGGCGUGGUGCUGUUCGGCGCGGUGGCCUACAACGUUGCGCAGGUGAGCUUCCGGCAGAGCGUCUGCCCGCCCGAGC